AGUGAACGCUGGCGGUAGGCCUAACACAUGCAAGUCGAACGGCAGCACAGUAAGAGCUUGCUCUUACGGGUGGCGAGUGGCGGACGGGUGAGGAAUACAUCGGAAUCUACUUUUUCGUGGGGGAUAACGUAGGGAAACUUACGCUAAUACCGCAUACGACCUACGGGUGAAAGCAGGGGAUCUUCGGACCUUGCGCGAUUGAAUGAGCCGAUGUCGGAUUAGCUAGUUGGCGGGGUAAAGGCCCACCAAGGCGACGAUCCGUAGCUGGUCUGAGAGGAUGAUCAGCCAAACUGGAACUGAGACACGGUCCAGACUCCUAAGGGAGGCAGCAGUGGGGAAUAUUGGACAAUGGGCGCAAGCCUGAUCCAGCCAUACCGCGUGGGUGAAGAAGGACUUCGGGUUGUAAAGCCCUUUUGUUGGGAAAGAAAAGCAGCAGGUUAAUACCCCGCUGUUCUGACGGUACCCAAAGAAUAAGCACCGGCUAACUUCGUG
rnacentral:rRNA from 1 species